UUUAUAGUUUCCACAUUAGACAGUGACAGUUCUCUGUCACAUAUAUUUUUUAGCAUCAGACGGUUCAUGUCACAGGAGUUGAUCAAAACGGAACUUCACUUAGUUUCCCCCUUUUUCUUUUUUUCAUUGUUUCCAAGUACAUUGAACAAUGGCUUGAACAUAUUUGUAAAUUUCAUGAAGUGACGGGAGCAAAUCACAUUCUGUACAAACAGCAUCUUGUUUAUCAUGGUCAUCAUCACAAUUUUCACAUGUUCUCUCAAGUUUGUUAUGACUUUCAUGUCCUCUGAACAUACAUUGACAUAGUAAAGGCUUAUCAUUGUUAUAAAACUGACCAGCCAUUAUGAAGCAUGUAUACAGAUAUAUUUUAGAAUUAAAUGUAAAGUGUAAAAUAUGUUGAUUUAAAGAAGCAAAACAUGUUGCAGACGUCUGUCUCCAUUUUUUGUGUAGAUAAACAAAUGACUUUUUCUAUUUUUAAACUUUGGUGAGUUCUAAAAAGGGAAAUAACUC
rnacentral:lncRNA from 1 species